rnacentral:rRNA from 1 species
UUGGAGGGCAAGUCUGGUGCCAGCAGCCGCGGUAAUUCCAGCUCCAAUAGCGUAUAUUAAAGUUGUUGCAGUUAAAAAGCUCGUAGUUGAAUUUCGGGGUCAAUAAGUUGGUCGUGCCAAUGGUAUGCACUGGCUUUAUUGAUUCCUACCUCUUGACGAACUGUGAUGCCAUUAAUUUGGUGUCGCAAGGAAUCAGGACUGUUACCUUGAAAAAAUUAGAGUGUUUAAAGCAGGCUUACGCUUGAAUACAUUAGCAUGGAAUAAUGAAAUAGGACGUUUGAACCUAUUUUGUUAGUUUCCAGGAUCGACGUAAUGAUUAAUAGGGAUAGUUGGGGGCAUUAGUAUUCAAUUGUCAGAGGUGAAAUUCUUGGAUUUAUUGAAGACUAACUACUGCGAAAGCAUUUGCCAAGGAUGUUUUCAUUAAUCAAGAACGAAAGUUAGGGGAUCGAAGACGAUCAGAUACCAUCGUAGUCUUAACCAUAAACUAUGCCGACUAGGGAUCGGAUGAUGUUAAUUUUUUAAUAACUCAUUCGGCGCCUUACGGGAAACCAAAGUGUUUGGGUUC